CUCUGGAUGGCUUGCGCCACCGUGGAGCCCUUCUGUCAAGGAAUGUAUGUGGCGUCUCAGGCACCAUACAUUGGCAAGAGAUUUGGAAAAGCCUGUUACUGACUUCUGUUCACCAUCUUGUCCAUCGGAAUGAAGUAAGAUUCUCUUUGAAAAUGGUACCCAUGCAGAAGAACGGUGAAUAGAACGAAGGAAAGCAGUGGUGUGGUUCCUCCUGUGUUGCAGUGUUCCCAGCAGUCUUGAUUCUCUGAUCCUGGUAUCCUAAUCACUGGAUCACACCUCAGAGUCAUUCUUCUCUUCUGGUAAAAAGAGGAAAAUACCUUCAAAGUGAAGAUUUCCCUUACAAAAAGG